UACGAAGGGGGCGAGCGUUGUUCGGAUUUACUGGGCGUAAAGGGCGCGUAGGCGGCAAUUCAAGUCACUUGUGAAAUCUCCGGGCUUAACUCGGAACGGUCAAGUGAUACUGCUUUGCUAGAGUGCGGAAGGGGCAAUCGGAAUUCUCGGUGUAGCGGUGAAAUGCGUAGAUAUCGAGAGGAACACCUGAGGUGAAGACGGGUUGCUGGGCCGACACUGACGCUGACAGCGCGAAAGCCAGGGGAGCAAACGGG
rnacentral:rRNA from 1 species